rnacentral:lncRNA from 1 species
AAUCUCAAUCACCUCAGCCACACGGCCAGCACCAACAUCAGCCACUCCAGCAGCAACCCGAACCGGAGGAUUAGCCUGUCCCACAGACGAGUUCACCAAUGGUGUGAACGCCUGUGUCAAGGAGGCGAUCUGAGCUCCCAUGAUCUGCAUAGCCUCCACCAAGCCCCUUAUGGUCAGCUCUAUGACCUCCUCGGCACCUGUGACCCGAACAUUGCUUGCAUCAACAUUCUGGCCACUCCCAGCACCAACGUUGGACGACCCA